GGGUAUAGCUCAGUGGUAGAGUGUGUGCUUAGAAUGCAUUAGGUCCUGGGUUCAAUCUCCAGUGUGUCCU
rnacentral:tRNA from 1 species